rnacentral:tRNA from 1 species
GAGGGUAUAGCUCAGUGGGAGAGCCCAUCCUAACAUGCAAAAGGUCCUGGGUUCAAUCCCCAGUACCUCCA